GUGAGGGGGGGUCGGGCCGGCUCGGAACCUGGUGGCUACCGUCGCUUUGGGGAGGAGGGCUCGCCUGAGGAGAAGCGGGCGAACGGACUAGUAAGUGGCCGACCCUCGCGGUGGAGAGCGAGCGAGCAGCGGAGAGGGAGAGCGAGCCGGGCCGCCUGUGGCUGGGAGGCGGCGAAGGCAGCGGUUCCCUCCCGCGCGGCAUAUGGCUCGGCGAAGGGAGCCGAGCGCUGCCCGCACGCCUGCCUGCCGCUGACUAGCGAGGGCGAGGCGCUGCUGCUGGGGAGCUACCGCGGAGGGCGGGGCAGGGCGCCCGGCUCCCUCCUCCUCCUCCCCCUCCCUCCUUCCUUCCCUCCCUCGCUCCGGCUGCCGCUGCUGCCGCCACCUCCUCUCUCCCUCCCUCCCUCUCUCCCUCCGUCCCCUCCCGGUCUCAGGCGGGCUUGGCUGGGGCUCGCGCGCUCUGGGGCGGGGUGGGGGGACCCUGUGCAGCAGGCAGGCACUGGAGGUGGAGGCGGCGGCGGCGGCGCUGGCCGCGUGUGGGGCUUGGCGGCGGCGGCGGCGGACCCUGAGGUAAGAGGCGGAAGGGUGGGCAGCGUGCGGUCGGGCAGCCCGAAGAGAGGACGCGGCGAGGGCGUCGGACGGGGCACCUCCGGAGGCGCAGGUGGCGAGGCGCCGCGGAGCAGCGCAGGCCAGGCGGGCCGGGGGAUUAGCCUGCCGGAAGGAGGCGGCCGCGGGGUGGGGGUGAGGGGCAGGAGACCUGGGCCCUGCCCGCGCCCCUCCUUCCCACGGGGAGCCCACGCCGGCCGCCUCGAAGCCAGGCGCGGCGUGACCUUGAGGGCAGCCCGGGAGCAGCGCCUCCGGCCGCCCGCCCGCCACCUUCUCGCCGGGCCGGCAGCUGGGCGAGGGAAGGGGAGAAAGCUCUCUCCUCAUGCCCCUCCGGUUGGUCAGCGUUCAUCUCCUCGUCCGCCGACGCGCGGCGGCGGCUGCUGCUGCUCUUUAGAAUGGGCCGCCGGGCGCCCGUUAGGUGAAGGUGCUUCUUGGUCUCCGGUUUGCUCUGCCGGGCUAAGUAGCCGGGAUUACGCCGCCGCCAAUGCACGGCAUUAUCAUCCUCGGCAGCCUUGA
rnacentral:lncRNA from 1 species